GAAACUUAAAAUUUUGACGGUAUUUAAUAUUCCAGAGGAAUAUGUAAUUUAAUCGAUACUACACGAUAAUUUUACUUAUUUUAUUUAUGUAUAUCUCCGUUAAUUGAUUUUAUUAAAAAUUUUUAAAAAUUUCUUAAUAAAUAAUUUUAUUAUUUCAGGUCAAGGUGCAGAAUAAAUAAGUUAUUAUGUAUUACAAUCAAGUAGAUUGAUUGAAUAAAUAUUGAAAUAUUUUUUGAAAUUGAAUCUGUAAGUAAAGUAAUUAUAAAAUUUUAUUUGAAAUUUUAUUGAAUAUGUACACAUCG
rnacentral:rRNA from 1 species